UGGGGAAUAUUGCACAAUGGGCGCAAGCCUGAUGCAGCCAUGUCGUGUGUGUGAAGAAGGCCUUCGGGUUGUAAAGCACUUUCAGCGGGGAGGAAGGCGUUAAGGUUAAUAACCUUGGCGAUUGACGUUACCCGCAGAAGAAGCACCGGCUAACUCCGUGCCAGCAGCCGCGGUAAUACGGAGGGUGCAAGCGUUAAUCGGAAUUACUGGGCGUAAAGCGCACGCAGGCGGUUUGUUAAGUAAGAUGUGAAAUCCCCGGGCUCAACCUGGGAACUGCAUCUGUUACUGGCAAGCUUGAGUCUCGUAGAGGGGGGUAGAAUUCCGUGUGUAGCGGUGAAAUGCGUAGAGAUCUGGAGGAAUACCGGUGACGAAGGCGGCCCCCUGGACGAAGAAUGACGCUCAGGUGCGAAAGCGUGGGGAGCAAACAGG
rnacentral:rRNA from 1 species